GAUGAACGCUGGCGGCGUGCCUAAUACAUGCAAGUCGAGCGAACAGACGAGGAGCUUGCUCCUCUGACGUUAGCGGCGGACGGGUGAGUAACACGUGGAUAACCUACCUAUAAGACUGGGAUAACUUCGGGAAACCGGAGCUAAUACCGGAUAAUAUAUUGAGCCGCAUGGUUCAAUAGUGAAAGACGGUUUUGCUGUCACUUAUAGAUGGAUCCGCGCCGCAUUAGCUAGUUGGUAAGGUAACGGCUUACCAAGGCAACGAUGCGUAGCCGACCUGAGAGGGUGAUCGGCCACACUGGAACUUAGACACGGUCCAGACUCCUACGGGAGGCAGCAGUAGGGAAUCUUCCGCAAUGGUCGAAAGCCUGACGGAGCAACGCCGCGUGAGUGAUGAAGGUCUUCGGAUCUUAAAACUCUGUUAUUAGGGAAGAACAAAUGUGUAAGUAACUAUGCACGUCUUGACGGUACCUAAUCAGAAAGCCACGGCUAACUACGUG
rnacentral:rRNA from 1 species